rnacentral:lncRNA from 1 species
GCUUAAUGCUGUCAAUGAUAACAUCAUGAAACUCCUUCUUUGCAAUUCCCAAGACUUCUUUCAAUGUGAAUUCCACCUUAGCAUUUAAUAUACGUUCUUCCAACACCCCUUUCAAAUUUGUUGCCGCUUCAAUGUCAGAAAGUAGCUUAUAAGCAAUUGAUUUGCCCUUAUCUUUUGUCUCCAUUGUUUUUUCUCCCAAUGAUGCUGAGGUAUCCUUUACAGUCAAUUCUUGUGAAGCUGCCUACCAAGUCUUGUCUCCUCAAGUUUGCCUCUUAAAAGAAUUUCCUUCUCUAGUAUCAUCAAAAUUUCCUCGUCUUUUUUCUUCCAUCAAAGCUUCAUGUUGGCUCUUAGCAAUAUAUGCAUGAACUGAAAGAGACUCAACAGGAUCCUCCCAACC